rnacentral:rRNA from 1 species
AGAGUUUGAUCCUGGCUCAGGGUUAACGCUGGCGGUGUGUAUAAUACAUGCAAGUCGAGCGAGAUUUUUAUUCUAGCUUGCUAGAAUAAAAUGAAAGCGGCGAACGGGUGAGGAACACGUUGGUAUCUACCCCAGACUCAGGGAUAACGUAUAGAAGUAUACGCUAAUACCGGAUGGUCUCGUAAGAGUAAAGCUUUUGCGGUCUGGGAGGAGCCUGCGGCUUAUCAGCUAGUUGGUGAGGCAAUAGCCCACCAAGGCUAUGACGAGUAACUGGUCUGAGAGGAUGACCAGUCACAAUGGGACUGAGACACGGCCCAUACUCCUACGGGAGGCAGCAGUAAAGAAUCUUCCACAAUGGGCGAAAGCCUGAUGGAGCGACACCGCGUGGUCGAUGAAGGUCGUAAGAUCGUAAAGACCUUUUCUGAGGGAAGAAUUAUGACGGUACCUCAGGAAUAAGCACCGGCUAACUCCGUGCCAGCAGCCGCGGUAAUACGGAGGGUGCAAGCGUUACCCGGAAUCAUUGGGCGUAAAGCGUCCGCAGGCGGUUUAUUAAGUUAAAUAUUAAAUCUCGAAGCCCAACUUCAAGUGUGUAUUUAAAACUGGUAGACUAGAGUUUUUUAGGGGCAUGUAGAAUUCUGUGUGUAGGGGUAAAAUCCGUAGAUAUACAGAGGAAUACCAAAAGCGAAGGCAGCAUGCCGGAAAAAUACUGACGCUCAUGGACGAAAGCGUGGGGAGCAAACACGAUUAGAUACCCCGGUAGUCCACGCUGUAAACUUUGGAUACUAGGUGUUGGAGGGUCUCGACCCCUUCAGUGCCCUCGCUAACGCUUUAAGU